UACGUAGGGGGCAAGCGUUGUUCGGAUUUAUUGGGCGUAAAGAGCGUGUAGGCGGCCAGGUAGGUCUGCUGUGAAAACUCGAGGCUCAACCUCGAGACGUCGGCGGAAACCCUCUGGCUAGAGUCCGGAAGAGGAGAGUGGAAUUCCUGGUGUAGCGGUGAAAUGCGCAGAUAUCAGGAAGAACACCCGUGGCGAAGGCGGCUCUCUGGGACGGUACUGACGCUGAGACGCGAAAGCGUGGGGAGCAAACAGG
rnacentral:rRNA from 1 species